UACGAAGGGAGCUAGCGUUGUUCGGAAUCACUGGGCGUAAAGCGCACGUAGGCGGAUUUGUCAGUCAGGGGUGAAAUCCGGGGCUCAACCUCGGAACUGCCUUUGAUACAGCAAGUCUUGAGUUCGAGAGAGGUGGGUGGAAUUCCUAGUGUAGAGGUGAAAUUCGUAGAUAUUAGGAAGAACACCGGUGGCGAAGGCGGCCCACUGGCUCGAUACUGACGCUGAGGUGCGAAAGCGUGGGGAGCAAACAGG
rnacentral:rRNA from 1 species